rnacentral:rRNA from 1 species
GCGACAGGCCUAACACAUGCAAGUCGAGGGGCAGCACAAGGAGCAAUCUGAGGUGGCGACCGGCGCACGGGUGGGUAACACGUAUGCAACCUGCCUGUAAGCGGGGAAUAACCCGUUGAAAGACGGACUAAUACCGCAUAAUACUAAAUUACUGCAUGGUAAUUAUUUAAACAUUUAUGGCUUACAGAUGGGCAUGCGCAUGAUUAGCUAGUUGGAGAGGUAACGGCUCCCCAAGGCAACGAUCAUUAGGGGUUCUGAGAGGAAGGUCCCCCACACUGGUACUGAGACACGGACCAGACUCCUACGGGAGGCAGCAGUGAGGAAUAUUGGUCAAUGGACGAGAGUCUGAACCAGCCAAGUCGCGUGCAGGAAGAAUGUCCUAAUGGAUUGUAAACUGCUUUUGCAGGGGAAUAAAGUGCAUCACGUGUGAUGUUUUGUAUGUACUCUGCGAAUAAGGAUCGGCUAACUCCGUGCCAGCCGCAGC